AGAGUUUGAUCAUGGCUCAGGACGAACGCUGGCGGCGUGCCUAACACAUGCAAGUCGAGCGAAGUGACUCCAAGAGAAGUUUUCGGAUGGAUCGAAGAGUCAUCUUAGCGGCGGACGGGUGAGUAACGCGUGAGAAACCUGCCUUUCACAAAGGGAUAGCCUCGGGAAACUGGGAUUAAUACCUUAUGAUACUGAACUACCGCAUGGUAGAUCAGGCAAAGCGAAUAAGCGGUGAAAGAUGGUCUCGCGUCCUAUUAGCUAGUUGGUGAGGUAACGGCUCACCAAGGCUUCGAUAGGUAGCCGGCCUGAGAGGGUGAACGGCCACACUGGAACUGAGACACGGUCCAGACUCCUACGGGAGGCAGCAGUGGGGAAUAUUGCACAAUGGAGGAAACUCUGAUGCAGCGACGCCGCGUGAAUGAUGAAGGCCUUCGGGUUGUAAAGUUCUGUCCUUGGGGAAGAUAAUGACGGUACCCAAGGAGGAAGCCCCGGCUAACUACGUGCCAGCAGCCGCGGUAAUACGUAGGGGGCGAGCGUUGUCCGGAAUUAUUGGGCGUAAAGGGUUCGCAGGCGGUCUGAUAAGUCAGAUGUGAAAGGCGUAGGCUCAACCUACGUAAGCAUUUGAAACUGUCAGACUUGAGUUAAGGAGAGGAAAGUGGAAUUCCUAGUGUAGCGGUGAAAUGCGUAGAUAUUAGGAGGAAUACCAGUGGCGAAGGCGACUUUCUGGACUUAUACUGACGCUGAGGAACGAAAGCGUGGGGAGCAAACAGGAUUAGAUACCCUGGUAGUCCACGCCGUAAACGAUGAGUGCUAGGUGUUGGGGGUCAAACCUCGGUGCCGCAGCUAACGCAUUAAGCACUCCGCCUGGGGAGUACGUACGCAAGUAUGAAACUCAAAUGAAUUGACGG
rnacentral:rRNA from 1 species